rnacentral:sRNA from 1 species
ACAGUGUCAUGGCCGUUUAAGCUAAGCACUUAAUUGUCGAUAAAGGCGCAGCUUGCUGCGCCUUUUUU